GUUUUGAUUUCUUGCUUCUUAGAUCCGUUCUGAUGUUCACCAAGAGUAACAAGAUCAUCCAUCAAGGACAGCCCUGAUUACCAAGACCUCUGGGUUUAUCUUAUGGGUCUAUUCUCAUGGAGUUGGUUGAGCUAUCCAGCACAUCACUGGCUGAAGCAAUGUUCGAGAAACUCGGUCUCCCUAAACCAGUAUACUUUGUGCAUCAUCUUUCACAAGAUCGAUUUAGAACAGAGAUUCAAUUUCACCGUACAAAAGAACGGUACCAUGCUUCAGUGCGGCGGACUAAACUAUCAAGCCGUAUAUGUCAGAAUGGGGUAGCAUCAAUGAAUCAUGCAGCCGAUAAGGCCAUCGAAUACAUGCAGAACAAAGAGGGUAAGGUGCUUGUGGACUACAACUAUUAUCAGCUAGAGCAAAUGAAAAUGACACAUACAAGAGUAUCAGCCAGGCUGCUAGAACAGUCAGACGAAAUCAACCAGCAUAGCAAAACCAUCAAGCAGAUAACUAAAGAAGCAUGUAACUAUGUGGAACAAGUGCGCAAUACAUCAAACAGAAUCCAAGACCUUGCUGCCGUUUUCUUGGACCCUGUUACCUCGAUGUGUGUUUCUAAUAUGAAGCAAGCUAUUAUGGAGAUUCACAGUUCAAUUGUCGCGCUUGAAAGCUCUAUAACUACGACAUCUAAGUUCCUAGAGGAAAAAGGCAUGUACUCAGAUUAUGAAGUGCCUGAAGAAAGCUACACUGGCCACUCGGAUGAAGAUUCAGCCGAUGAUAUUCAUCAACACAUGGAUGACGACUAUGUCCCAUCCCCAUGAGCGUCAUAUCGAGCCUGUUGAACUAUCUCGUUGCCAUGUGAAGUUGUAUAUAUCAAAAACAACCCUCUUCACCCAUUGAUUUGGUAUUACCAGAGAGCAUCUCAUGGAGAAGAACAAAUCCUGGUGUUUCAACCUACCCACAGCCGAUCAAUUGAGCGAGUGGAUGUUAACAGAGAAAUACAUGAUUGAUGAUAUUUCUUCUUCACAAGGUUUUAUAAGCGCAGUAGAACACAAGACGAGAGAGGUUGCGCGGCUGUGUUCCCACUACAUACUAGCACGGUGGGAUGGAUGGCCUAUGGAUGAGAACCACGUCACGCCACUCAUUUCAGAACAUCUUCAUCUGCCAUAUCAACCAUAUCUGUAUGCUCCAUAUGAUAAUGAAUCCCGGUUGGUGCUAGAUUUAAUGAAUGAGCCAACCACAGCUUAUGCACGUGUGGUUCUGUCCAGUGGAGUGACCAUGGCAGUAGAUGGGACUGAAGUUCUAUGUUACCCUGUAAAAAAUGUAGGUGUGCCAAUGGAAGCAAUACCUAAGGAAGUAAUAACCCCUAAAGAAGCUAGAGCAAGAAACUAAGGAUACUGAUAUCUUGGCAGCAUUCCGAGUAAGUCCUCAGCCUGGGGUUCCGCCCCAAGAAGCAGGGGAUGUACGAUUUUCAGAUUGAAGAAAUGAUGGAGACAAUGACUGAACAUCUAAAGGUACAGAUCUAUGGUUUGCCAUUACAUCUUUGGACUAGAAGAGCAAUUGAACGUGCCCUGCUACCACAUUGCCUUGUUGAGAAUGUUAGUCAAGCCAAUCUCAUCUUUCGCAAGCUUCGAUCAGUAAGUUGCACGGCAUGCCUGUUAGAACUGUUGUGCCAUUCCCAUGGUAUAUACUCAUUCAUGUCUCCAGCAAGUAUGACAAAGGAAGAAACCAAAGCAGUGGCCACAGGAACACAGAGACUUUUUGUAUUGGUGUUGACAGAGUUAAUAUUGGAGCUCAUCAUAACAAGUCUCUUCAAAGAACACACAGGAGGAUUCCUUCUUUCUUGCAGGCACUAAAGAGAGGAAUGGUUUCCCAUUCAUAUUUAAAUGAUGUUGACAUACCAGCUGACCAAAUGCGGAUAUUGGAAUCAUCAUUCCUCUUGACGGCUUGCGAUGAGGGAAGAAUUAUCACAGAGGACAAGUUAACACGCUGUUUGCAGCAAAUGCAGAUUGAAUGUCCUGGAAAGGUCAUAGUCAAGCAAGUUGGCAGGUCCAAAUACCUUAUAUAUUUCCAAGGGCCAGUAACCACAACUUUGUUUCACACGUUGUCUGCUGAUGCUGCUGGAAUCCAGCUACCUCUUGGUAAGUUCUUAGUUCAGAAAUGGUCGACGUCUGUUGGAGGUGUAUCUUCUACCCUCUCUCGAAAAGAACAGAUAAGGAUUACAGGACUGCCAACUGAAUUUUACAGCCCGUCUAUAAUUGAAGACAUCCUGAGCCCCCAGUGCAUGUUAGAAAACAAUAGCCAUCAGGUUGGUGAGUCUCCUGAUGUUUGGUUCUAUGACUGUGCCAUAUGGACAAAUGAAAACAAAAUUAUUUCAGAGGACAUCUAUUUGGGCUGCUCCAAAUGGAUUAACAGUGGAACAAUCAACUGUUAAAGAUCUUCAGGUGCCUCUGGAGUUGUACAAUGCAAGAAUUACCAGCUCAUAACACCAUAUUUCAAGAGCUGGGAUCACAGUGCUGACAUAUCUACAUUAGUUGGGCAGCUUUCACUAUUUAGGUGUUUCUGUAAAUAAGUUUAAGUCAAAUUACUAUAUCUACACUUAUGCACCCUGCAGUCUCCCGCUCGCUACCUAUUACUUCUCCCUCGCGUAUCUUUUUGUUCUUGUAUUUUUGAUUAUGCCGUCUUAAGAGGUGUCCUCCAACGGAUAACUCUCCAUUAUCAGUCUUCCUUAUUAACUAAUCAGCCCAUUUUUUAAAACAAAUGUUGUGUUGUUUAAAAUUCACACACAUGCUACUGGAUUUUACUUACAUUCGUUUCAACCCCUUCCAAUAUAAUUAUUUCUGCCCUAAUAUAUGCCUACUGCAAUGUAUUCUGCACAGCCAGGUUGAUUGGACCUAGGUUGUUUCUUCUAUCUCCAUGUUAAUUGCAUUAGGAAUUACAAAAUGAGGAUGCACCUGCCGGUUGAUUACUAAGAAAGCCUUUUAUUUUCCACAGGCUUUAUUUAGAUUCUUGAUGCCUCCAUAAAAUUCCUGAUCCAGAAAAAGCUAGGUAAAGAUGAAACAAAAUGUUGAUUGCUUCCUUUUUAGUUCUCUUAGUUUAGCCUCGCCACAAAAGCCCUGUCCCACAGCUACAUGGCUUUAAAAAUUAGACCACCUGGCUAUAAUUCCAAAAAAACAAAUAAGGUAACAUAAAUUAUUUUAUUAUUCGAUUUGCUUUUUAUUAAAAAUAAACUACCACGUAGAUACAUGAUACUAAUUACCCAUAAAAAUAUAGCACUGUAUAUCAGUAAGCCCAUAUAAGGUUUGUUUUAGAAGAAGGAUAAACAAGCAAAGUAACAAUAUUAACGGACAUUUUCCAUCCUCAGAACCAACCACAAAAACAGGCCCAUGACAAAGCAAUUUUAGAAGCCCAUGCCACCAGGGCCCAUACACAUCUUGCUCAGGCUCCGCACAGUAUAUAAAGAGCAAGAUGUUAUGCUUUUACCUAAAUCCCCAAUCCGAAACCCUGGCUCCUCUCUCUGCUGUGCGCCCCCCCACACCAGCGGCUACCACACCGAAUCCUCAGCGCCUGUGGUAACAAAGCGCAUGAACUACAUGUACAUUGGAGCUGUUUGUGAUGAGGGAUCUCCAGGCUCGGCAUCAUCAAGAACAAGAACCACUGAGCCAAAGGACAACAUGGGCACUCAAAAGUGUCAGUACGUUGUUGAUGCUACUGGAUUUGAUAAAGUUGCGGGUCUGAGGUCAACAAGAAAAAUAUAAUGCCAUCAUCUUAUGCGGGCAAACUUCGCUCGAUGACUGAAAACUUCCACGAUUCUAUAGCUGUUUCACGUGUCCAUGGCUCACCUGAUAUAUUCACAACCUUCACUUACGAUCCAAACUGGCCUGAGAUAGUUGAGGGUCUUGAGCAUGGACAACAGGCAAUCAAUGAAGCUAAUUUUGCUGCUCAAGUGUAUCAGAUGAAGUUACUUGGGUACCUGCAAGAAAUAAAGACCGGGAAAGUGUUUGGGCCUGUAGUUGUAGUCCUCCACUCCGUGGAGUUCCAGAAGAGGAGUCUGCCCCAUGCACAUAUCCUUGUUUGGCAGAAAAAAGAUAAUGGCCAAGUCAUAACACUGACCUUGCUAAAUCCUUUGUUUCAUCUGCUAUUAGUGUUUCUAUCAAAUCUAGAUUCGUCUUUGUUUUCCAGAGUUCCUUUUUCCAGAAUUCCUAAUAAUUAGCUUGACCAUGUCAUAGGGAUCUGCGUCCACUGAUGUUGAUGCCGAUGCUCCUGCGAUUGCAGCUGUUAACACCAUGGAGACUGCACUUCUGCAGACAUAAAAGCUUAUGAGAGAUGUUGCUGCUGCUGCACAGAACAUUUCGUCAAAAAUGUUUCGUUGCUAAGUGAUCUACACUUUCGGAUGAACAUGCAUGAAAGGUUCUUUUGGUCCUUGGUUCUUUCUCUCUGGUUACUUUGGAUCUAGCAACUAAAGCGUUGCCCACAAGGACAAGUGAAGCCUGCUUUGCAGUUACUGUUUUCGCACAAUUGUCCAAGUAUCCAGAAUGGCCUAUUACUAUGUUCGUCGCAUAUUUGUAAACCGCAUGUUUGGCAACCCCUGUUCAUGCGUUUCCUUGUUUAAGAUCUCAACCAGCCUAUUUCCAUGUUCUAUGGAUAUCGUUCUUAGCCCUUUGUUAAUGUACCCUAUGUCCCUCAUGACUAUUUGAACCUACUACAAAUAUUUAUUAAGCCAACCUAUCUAACGUAUGUUUGAUCACCA